UUCAGUGCUUCCCAGGCUGUUCUCCAGCCGCCGCCCUUCCCUUCCUCGGGGGCUGGACCCUGCGCCCGAGGUGGGGAGGGACGUCGGGGUCGUGUCCCUUGGUGCUUGCUGGCCGGGCGGAGGCGUGGGGGGCACUCAGCGACCCCUAGCGGGAUCUACUGUGUGCCUGGUGCGGUGCGGGUUUACUGGUGGCAGAGUGGCUCCCAGAUAUGUCUUCGUAUUCCUGCGGCACCGAAAGUGAUGCUGAAUGUGUUUCAGGCUCUCACUAAAUACUUCCUGGUAUAACUGGAGCACGAAACAGAAGAUAUAACAUCAUCUGGGCAUUCAGGACAAGAAGGCUUCCUGGAGGAAGAGGCAUCUCAUCAGCCCUGAAGAAUUCUGAGGAGGAGGAAGAGCUAGUAAAGGAAGAAGGUGGGGGAGUGGUGAAGAAGCAGAAGGAGAAGAUGUUCUGCAGUGGGAAGAAGAGCCUGUGUGGCUGGCUGGGAGCAAAUUAUCGACUGGAAUGCUCGAAGAACCGAGCCCCAGAGUGGCUGAAGAUGGUACGAGAUGCAGAGAGGCACACGAUGUGACACCGAUUUUUCGCUCUCCGUGGAGCAGCUUACAGAGUGGAGCGCAGGGGAGAGAGGCCAGUCGGGUGAACCCUGUUGAUCUGCUGGUGAGAUCGUGCCCGCCAGGCAUCUAUCUGCCUUACAGUGGUUACCAUGGAAACAUUAGAUCGUACACCGAGAAGCGUCUAGUCAGCCCCUCUGAUUAAAGAUGAUGACAAGGACGAGAUGGGGAAGAUGUACUGACUAUUCUACUGGCAGCAGGGUAAAACGGAUUCUAACCAUUUUAAGGGUAUGGUUCUGUGGCAGUAAGUACAUUCGUAAUAUUGUGCAGCGAACACCACCACCCAUCUCCAGGAAUCUCUCGUCAUUCUCUUAAGCUGAAACUCUGUACCCAUUACAACAACUCCCGUUUCCCCUUUCCCUCCCCAGACUCUGGGGAGUAUUGUUCUACUUUCUGUCUCUAUGACUUUGACGACUCUGGGUACACGGAAUCCUCCAUACGUACAUAGUGGAAUCAUACAAUAUGUGUCGUUUUGUGCCUGGCUUAUUUCACUUAG